rnacentral:lncRNA from 1 species
UUUUUUUUUUUUUUUUUUUCCUCCAGUGACCUGCAGCAACGUUUGUCUUAAGAGAAACUGCUAUAGCCAGAAUCACAAAAACUAACAAAUAAGCAGAGUCAGCUUGAACAACAGGCUUAUGGGUGUUCCAGCCCAUGUUUCACCCUUUGUUAUGCAUAUUUAUAACAGAACACAGAACGACAAAGAAAAUAGAGCAAAAGACUGCCAUUUCAAAGAGGAAAAGAUGUGAAACAAUAUGAAUUUGUACCAUCAAGUACCAAAAGUACACCAGAGUUACUACAACUCAGGACUAGCAGAACAAAUCAUUUUUCCUAUUAAUCAAAACAUUGCAGAUGAGACAGUGAUUUCUACCAUCUUCUCAAAUGGAGUACAAAGAGAGAGAGAGAAAGGCCAGGAGCCUGGCUGAUAAGAAAUUCUGACCCUUUUGACAGCAGGUCAGAUUCCUGGUUUCUCUUCACUGCAGCCUCCAGAAGAGAAGAGCAUCUUUGAUAAUUACUGUGUGCCAUUACUGUGGGGACCAGAGACUCUUGGUCCUCUAAUGAUUCACUAAAAAUCACUGAUAAAAGGUGGAUUGAUUAAUAAAAGAAAAGGCAUACAAGUUUAUUUAACGAGUAUAUAUGGGAGCACUCAGAAUGAAGAUCCCUCAUUUUAGGCAUCCCUUAUAUUUGUUUGUGAGGUGUACUAAAACAACAUACAUACUACCAAAUUGAAACAUUAAAGAAAGCCCUUUUCAUUUAGUGGGAAACUCAUUUACUUUUUAAAAUAUUAUUUGUAUUAAUACAUAAUAUUUGUACAUAUUUAUGGUAUAUAAGUGAUACUUUAAUACAUAAAUACAUUGGGUAAUGAAUAACUUGGGAUAUUUAGGAUCUACAUCAUCUCGAACAUUUAUCAUUCCUUUGUAUUGGGAAUACUUUAAAUUUCUUUUCUAGCUGUUUGAAAAUAUAAAAUAUUUUAUUGUUAACCAUAGUCUAGCUACAGUGCGAUCAAACACUAGAACGUUUUGCUUCUAACUGUAUGUUUGUAUCCAUUAACCAACCUCUCUUCAUACCCUUCUCCUCACAAAUAUCUUUCUCAAUGUCUGGUCGCUAUCAUUCUACUCUUUACUUACAUUAGAUCAAUGUUUUGUCCCCACAUAUAAGUGAGAACAUCCAAUAUUUGUCUUUCUGUACCUACCUUGUUUCACUUAACAUAAUAUCCUGCAGCUCCAUCCAUGUUGUUGCAAAUGACAAGAUUUCAUCAUUUUAAUAUUUGAAUAAUAUUUCAUGGUGUAUAUAUAUAUUCUUUAUUUAUCCAUUGAUAGACAUUUAGGUUGAUUUCAUAUCUUAGCUAUUGUGAAUAGCACUGCAACAAACACAGUGUAUUAGUCCAUUUUCAUACUGCUGUAAAGAAAUGCCUGAGACUAGGUAAUAUAUAAAGAAAAAGAGGUUUAAUGGACUCACAGUUCCACAUAGCUGGGGAGGUCUCACAAUCAUGGUGGAAGGCGAAGGAGGAGCAACGACACCUCUUACGUGGUGGAAGACAAGAGAGUGUGUACAGGGGAACUGCCCUUUUAAAAACCAUCAGAUCUCAUAAGAGUUAUUCACUAUCACAAGAACAUCAUGGGGAAAAAAAAAAAAAAAAACCCUUCUCAUGAUUCAGUUACUUCCCACUGGGUCCCUCCCACACACAUGGAGAUUAUGGGAGCUACAAUUCAAGAUGAGAUUUGAGUGGGAACACAGUCAAACAA